GUUACACACGUUGGUGGCAACGAUCUCCAGGGAUCCGGUUCUUUUCCUGGCUUUAAUGUGCCUGCACUGACAAGAAAGACUCCCUUCCCUCCUGAGCCUGGAGCAGGAAUGCAGGCGUGCCAGGGCUUGGACAUACUGAUGAAGAGUUCAGAUGUUUGGCACCACCCAUGUCAAGGGAAGGUAUUUUGCCCCCUCUACUACUACAAAAUUUGCCUAAGGAUAACCUGGAAAUUCUCUCCUGUGCAGCCUGCUCGGAAUUGUAUCUCACCUUGACUCACAUGCUGAACUGCCAUUGAAAGUAGUGGAAACCUUUGCUGCUCAAGGGAAAUAUAUAAGCCUUAAAAAACCAAGGUCACAUAGCUCAUAAACAGCCUGCUGGGGAGCCAUCUCUUCUCUGUGCUCCUGUAAAUUAUCUACCAUUAAUAGAGGAAAUGUAAGUAUAUGAACAUGCAUAAAUGUGCAGGCACUUAGAAAAAGGCUGAUAUGUGUUCCAGCUUACAGAUCACACCCCAUGCAACAGGCUCAUGGGACACCCCCUU